rnacentral:sRNA from 1 species
ACCCUCAGCUUCACCAGCGCCGAGGACGACGAGGACGAGGACGACGAGGAGGCUGGCCCUGACCAGCUGCCCCUCGGGGAUGGGACGUCAGGAGAAGACGCAGAACGGAGCCCCCCACCUGAUGGGCAGCGGGGCAGUCAGCUCCUGGCGCGGCAGCUGCAGGAUUUCUGGAAGAAGUCCCGGAACACCUUGGCACCCCAGCGGCUGCUCUUCGAAGUGACCAGCGCUAACGUUGUCAAGGACCCGCCCUCCAAGUACGUGAGACAGGGUCUUGCCAUGUUGCCCAGGCUGGUCUCGAACUCCUGGCCUUAAGCUGUUCUCCUGCCUCAGCCUCCCAAAGUACUGGGAUUACAGACAAACCUCAGCUCUACACCCUCGCCGUGAUGGGCCCAGGACCGCCAGAUUGCCAGCCAGCCCAGAUCUCUCGCCGUUACUCGGACUUUGAGCGGCUGCACCGAAACCUGCAGCGGCAAUUCCGGGGCCCAAUGGCUGCCAUCUCCUUCCCCCGUAAGCGGCUGCGCCGGAAUUUUACUGCAGAGACCAUUGCCCGCCGUAGCCGGGCCUUUGAGCAGUUUUUGGGUCACCUGCAGGCAGUGCCUGAGCUGCGCCAUGCCCCGGACCUGCAGGACUUCUUCGUGCUGCCGGAGCUGCGGCAGGCACAGAGCCUCACCUGUACUGGCCUCUAUCGUGAGGCUCUGGCACUCUGGGCCAAUGCCUGGCAGCUGCAAGCCCAGCUGGGCACCCCCUCUGGCCCAGACCGCCCCCUGCUGACCCUGGCUGGGCUGGCCGUGUGCCACCAGGAGCUGGAAGACCCUGGGGAGGCCCGGGCAUGCUGUGAGAAGGCCCUGCAGCUGCUUGGGGACAAGAGCCUCCACCCUUUGCUGGCACCCUUUCUGGA